rnacentral:rRNA from 1 species
AUUGAACGCUGGCGGCAGGCCUAACACAUGCAAGUCGAGCGGUAGAGAGAAGCUUGCUUCUCUUGAGAGCGGCGGACGGGUGAGUAAUGCCUAGGAAUCUGCCUGGUAGUGGGGGCUAACGUUCGGAAACGGACGCUAAUACCGCAUACGUUCUACGGGAGAAAGCAGAGGACCUUCGGGCCUUGCUCUAUCAGAUGAGCCUAGGUCGGAUUAGCUAGUUGGUGGGGUAAUGGCUCACCAAGGCGACGAUCCGUAACUGGUCUGAGAGGAUGAUCAGUCACACUGGAACUGAGACACGGUCCAGACUCCUACGGGAGGCAGCAGUGGGGAAUAUUGGACAAUGGGCGAAAGCCUGAUCCAGCCAUGCCGCGUGUGUGAAGAAGGUCUUCGGAUUGUAAAGCACUUUAAGUUGGGAGGAAGGGCAGUAAAUUAAUACUUUGCUGUUUUGACGUUACCGACAGAAUAAGCACCGGCUAACUCUGUGCCAGCCGCCGCCGUAA